AUCGUAAUCGCCAUGCAACAUGGCAAGUGUGGCGUCGGUGCUUGUUGCCGUGUUCUUAGUUUCAAUAGUUUGUAUUUUUAUUGAAAAAGACAAAGCAACACAACAAAGGUAAAAUAUCACUCGUCCAAAUUUUAAAGUUUUCAAAAGUCUAGCAAAGAUGUAUAUUGUAUGUAUAUUUCUUAUAUCUUUAUAGUAAGUUUCUCAGUUGAUAUUUAAUAAAGAUAGACUACCUGAAAAAUACGAGAGCUUCGAUCGAGGUCUCGACCGAAUUAAGGCCCUUCAACUUCCAGAAUCCAGACGAAGUUCGCUUGAAACAACCAAGUUCUCGUUAUAUUUUUCAGAUUGUCUAUCUUAUCUUACUGGCACCCCACGUUCGAGAUAUACGUUGCGUCUCUAAACGGUCGAAAACAACCUUUCGUGUUAAUAAUCGUCGUUGAUACGACCAGAGGUUCUUAUUGAAUUUUACUUCUCGGAUAUGUAGAAAGUUAAUAAUUGUAAAUAUGCCGGCGAUUUAUAAUACAUUUUGCCUCUAAAUGAAAGAUCUCAUUCCAGCAUAUUUUUGAUAUGCUUCGAUAUUUGUGCAGUUGACUAUUUAAACUAUUUACUAGUCUAUUACUGUAAUAGCGAGCUUAAGCAUGUAGGAGGGCAACGCGGCGACGACGGCCAAAACAAAUUCCUUCAAAUAAAUGAUAGUAAAGAAAACUUGUCGUAUAUUAUAAUUCCUAUGAAUUUAAUACAGUAUAAGAAGUUGAAAACGUUGGCUUUUAUGUUUGGGAAGAGUUCUACUGAACCGAACAGACUGAAGUUUAAAUAUUUCAUGUUUGCCUUGCAACUUUUGCCAGUAUUAUAUUAUUUCAACUAUAAACAGAGGUCAAAACAAAGGUCGAAGUAUUGAAGCGACAUUUUUUGUGUCAAAUACCCAUUUUUCUGCAAGACGAAAUUAGUUCAGUAUGAAAAUAAUAAUAAAACAUAUCCUAUAAAACUUCUCAUAUUUUAUAAUAAAGAUCCUACAUUAAUUGGCACCAACAAAGGCAAGUACAAUAGUCAAUAACUUUGAAUUGAAGCCUCAUCAUUUCAAUUAACCAGAUUUUGUAAGAGGCACUUUUGCCAUUUUGAUUUGAACAUGAAUAUGGAUGUGGCCCCUUAAUUUAAUAAUAGUUGUAUUUCUAAAAAGGCUAUAACAUAGGGAAGAUAUAAAGUGCUUUUGGACCACUUUUGAUUGGAUAAAUUGACAUCUAGGGAGAUCUAACGUCAUUAUGUAAUUUAUAGUAUUAUUCAUCUUGCGUUUUAUAUAUGAGAACCAGGCUAGCCCACCCAGGGGUGCAUAUUGGGGGGAGGUGUGGAGGAUUGUGAUACCCCCAAAAUUUGCAAAGUCGGUCUUGGUGCAUUAUAAAGUCAGUCCUAAAACAAACAAAAGCCGCUUUACUGUACUUCAGUUGGUUUGUGGGUUGAAUUUUGAGAAAAUGUGAGAAUGAAUGGACCAUGAGAGAUGCAAUAGGAGAUAUAAUAGGAGCCUUUUUGGGACAUACGUCCAGAAAAAAAUUUUCCAAUGGGGGAAAACAUCUUUCGACAGAGGGAACUUUUUUUAGGUUGGUCCAGAAAAAUUCCUAUCGGAUCGAGUCGAUCCCACCCAACCGACAUUCCCCCCCAAAAAUUGAAUUUGUCCCCUUGAGCCCACAUAGGCGAGAUCCGGAUCUUGACAGGGUUCGAAUUAUUAGCAGGUAGUAAAUCGCAAUUUGCGAGCCGAUUUUUGGCAUUUGCGAAUUGAAAAUUUUAUUUUUUGCGAAUCGAAAUGUUCCAAUAAAAUGUCCUAGUUUUUAAUUUUUGUUUUUUAUAAAAUGUACCUGAUAUAUUUAUGCAAUUCGGGAUGAAAUUUACAUUGCUUGUUUACAUUUUUUCGUGUUGUGAGCAGAAUGGCAGAGUAUUCAUUUUACUGUUUUUACGGCCAAGAAUUUCAAUUGCUCCCUAUGUUGUUCACUCAGUCCAUUUAAGGUCACAUAAAUGAUAAUCAGGCACAAGGGUGAUGCGAUCCUUAAAAAUACAGAAAACCGGCACAACAUACACUAGUGUUCAUAUGAGGCAGGCUGGCUCCCCAAAACCAACGACUGGCUCACUGCUAUAAAUAGUACCGGUACAUAUUUUCUCAUGAACCUGAAUUUGGCACAUUUCCAGCCCGCCUAGGCAAGCAGGGUUCGAAUGUGCUCUGGAAAUAGAUGUUUACCCCUUCCCUUUAGGAAUUCUAGGUCGGAAAAUCUUAACUUCUGGAAUUUUGAAGUUCUAACCUAAGGGGGUGUACAGUCCUAGGAGGGGGGGAUGAAAAAACAUGCCACCAUUUCACUCUAAUGCCAGACAAUCUACUCACUCUACUAAAUUACUGCCAGUUUAUGGGUUAAUAUGAUAUUUGCUUACAAUUCUUGCCAUAAUGUUUGUAACAUGUGCAUAAUAGCUAGUGCAAAUUACCUUUUCUCCUACGCCAUGGCAGAUCUUUCACUCCAUAGUCAUAACGUAAUUCUUCAUGCAGCCUAAUAUUUUUUUUAGCAUAAAGUGCCAGAUGAGGUUGGCUGUUGAUUAUCACUUUUCUCAUGUGGCAAUUUGCCGUCUUGGGCUCUGAAUCAUUUACCAUCCUACCAAGCCCAUCCGAAAAUGUUGCAUCCACACUUAAUAAAGAUCAAGGAUUAUAUAUAAACAUUAUGGUAACAUUAUGUCAUCUGGCUAAGAAGAGUUCAAGGUUUUUAAUUAAAUAAACUUAUGCUAUUUGUCUAUCCUUAUAAAAAUUUAUACCCUUUUAUGUUUGUACAACUUACCAAAAAGAAUCACAAAAGAACAAGAAGCUCCCAAGUUCUUUAUUGUAUGACUGUUCUCGUUGUUCACCUUCAUGUUUUGUUACCAAUUCGCCCUUGUAUUCAAGGAGGUAUUCUCCUUUUAAGAAGGGCCUCUUUGCAAAGAUGCCAUGACCUAAUGGAAAAACACAGUUUUAGUAUGCCAAGCCAAGGGCCUGCCAAAUUAACUCACAAACAUGAGUAACAUACAAAUUGGCCAGGUAGAGUGUGCUUGCUUGCAAGCUAGCUGUACCACCUCAUCACAGACUGUAUUCUGUGUCUAUAGGUGGGUUUCACUAGGUCUCACACAUGGUCAUAAAAUUCUAAAAUCAGCGCUAAAAAGCUGGGUUGUUCUUAUCAUUCCUAUAUAUAAGUGAUUUCACAAAGAAUUUUGAAUCCAUACAAUUAUUUCCUUUUGCAUUACAGAGUGUUGCAAUUAUAUAAUUUUUAACACUCCACACAUACUGUACACUGUACUUCACCAAAUGAUAAUUUUAUGAGAUCUAGUGAAACCCGCCUAUAAACUUACUACUGCCAAUCAGGCCUCGAAUUUCCCUGAAAUUAAUCGACGGCAAUGGCGCUAAAAAUUGCUGUAGAACGUAACAGCUGUCUACGGCAAUUUUGGCAGUUUCCGCUGCAUUUUUCUAAUUACUGUAAUAAAAAUUUAAUUUUAUAUUGUUACUUUGGAUUGUUGACAAGCUACAGUAGAAACAUGUCUACGUAUUUCCUUAGUGGUUUUGUUUAAGAAAACUGAGACUAAAAUAGUGAUUUACGUAUGAUUUGAUCAACACCUGAAUUCAAGUAUCCAAGUAGUAAUGCACAGUGAAUAGUAUAAAAAUUGCACUAUACGGCAAAAAAUUGCCGCGAUAAAAUUCAAGCCCUGCUGCCAAUAUCAUACGAUGGAGAUGCUGCCAACUAAGAUGCAUACCAGAUAAAUUUAUUGAAGCUGACAUCAAAUGUUAUAAAUUAUACUGUACAUGAAGUCCCAAAUGUAAAUUUGUUCUGUUUAUUUUUUAAUGUAUUGGAAAUUUGAUACCUAUAUAAUUAUUAAUAAAUCUCUGUUCUAGGUCUUUGCUGUCAUUGGGAAGAGAUUCAGAGGUUGGUUGUCUUUGUUUCUAGAAAACAAAUAUGGUACAAAUAUGGUACUGGUAUUUACUACUUUUCCACUGUUGAGUGAAAUCAUUUGGUGUUAGACAGAGUAAAAUGCUAAACACAAGUAAAAUGCUAAAGACAGAGUAAAAUGCUAGGCACAUCUGGGCAGAAAUACAAAUAGAAAAAACAAAUAGAAAAAUAUGCACAUCUGUGCCUAUUAACUCAUUAACUGGCAACAAGCCAUGCAUCUGUAUGCCUCUGAAUGCACCUGUAUGUUAGUAUUUUUUAGUAUUUUACUCUGUUUAAUUAACAUCAGACUGUUUUACUUGUUAUUGAAAGAGUAGUGCCAGUAAAUGGGCUAACAAACUAUUUGUAAAGAGUCUCUUGUUAAUCGAUUACUGUAGCUGUCAAUCACGCCCAAAUGUUCCCUGACCAACCCUGGAGUACAGGUAUUUUACUAUGUAUAACACCAGAUGAUUUUAAGUGAAAGGGUACUGCCAGUUAAUGGGUUAACUUAUUUUACUUCAGUAUUGCAAUGUAUUUGGGGAUUUGGUGGAUCAAUGCAUUGCCUAUUACAUUUCUUAUCAUUAUAAGGACCAUCAAUUCCUUAUCUGGGAGGGGGAUAGAAGAAUUAGGACAUGGGUGAAAAAAGAUUGGCAAGAACAUCAGUUACCUUGAAAGCACACAAUAGCCAUUCUGGGCUAACUAAGAAAUUAAAAAAUUGCUAUAGCGAGAAGACUCAAGAUACUCAUACAGUAUUCUAAUGCAAGUCGCAAGAUCCAAUGCCGAACUAUGCCAUCAUACAUGUUAUUUUGGGAUAAAUACAUGUAUGUAUACUUUGGAAAGAAUAUGGGAAAUAUUCGAAAUAUUACUAUUAAAGAGAGGACCACUACGAUGCAGGCUGUCAAAAAGAUGUUGGGCUCUGAGAUAACCUUUUAAGAAACUAGAAAUAACAACCUGGGUCAGAUGCUAGAAAAGUAGAAAAUUUACUUUUUGGAUAUUUAUUAUGUACUAACCAUAUUUAGGUUGUUAGACUCAGGUUACUGUAGGAUGCAAAUUCAUCAACUAAUGCCAUAGAAGUAUGUGGUUUGAGUUGUUUGACUAUAGAAUAUUCUUGACAUUUGAAUAAUUUUAUUCAUCAAAUAUCAAGCAGCCAAUCAAGCUAUGGUUUUGUUUGCUACUGCCAAAAUUGAGUCCUUUCUCUGGCUCAAAUAUUCAAAACAACUCCCCUGGUAGGGCAUGCUGGUAAAAGUUUGAGUAUAAUAGGGUGGGCCAAGAUUAAGGGUACACCAGCCCCCUCCUAAACAAAAUGAACCUAUGUUUAUUUCUAACCAAUGUAUUAUUUCUUCCCUAGCAUAUUCAUUAAGGAUCUGUGUAAUUACACUGUUACAGCUACUGUGAAUUAGGAUUCAGAUUUAACUGACACACAACAGGUAAAUAUCGCAUGAUAUAACUGAAAUAGAAUAAAUACAUACAAUAGGUGGAUUUAUUGAGGAGGGUGCACCCUUCUUCUUGGCUAUGCUUUGCCUAUGAGAUGCAAGAGAAGUGCCAAUUUUCAUAUCAAAUUUUAAAUUUGCAUAAGCAGGCAUCUAGCCAAUCUCAUUUUUAUUUUUUCUGACAAGCCAACCAUGCUGAACCCAUGGUAGGAUCCUUAGUCAUCACUAAUCAUCAUUCAUUAGUGAUGGUCAAUCCAUGCUUUGUGACUAGAAACCACUCAUGAAUGCCCCUUACUAUAUCAAGCUGCAUCAUUCUCUGAUAUGUAAUAUGACGGUAUAUAGUAAUUUGGCCCUGCAUAUGCAUGCAAGAUUUCAGGAUUUUCGCUUGCGAAGGUUGUUCAAACCAACAGCAUCCAUGUCUUUCUGAAAAAUAUGUCUAGUAUAUUUAUUUUUCCCUCGUCAUGUCUGAUAUAUUUCAAAAUCACACAGAUAUGAGACAAUUGCAGCAAAAAUUACGAUCCGUCUGCCACGAGUACUGUAUAAUGAGGUUUCAUCAUUUUUAUGACUUGCAAGAGUAUUAGUCAAGGUCAUUGUCGAAGGCCCAAAAAAUCAGGUCGAAGGUCGAAGGCCACUAAAAGUGAAAAAUUAUUCCUACCGCCCGCAUUUGUCUUUUUUUUCAAAGCUAGACCUUUUCAAACUAAAUCAUUUGCCUGUUUUUGUGUUAAAAAUUGACUCCAUGUGAGAAAGACCGUUUAAGAAAAUUUCGCCUUUGCGAUAUAUAGAUGCAUGCCAUAAAAUGAGAUGUUGUCUCAACGACUUGCGCUUUACUCCCUUUAGGCUUUAGCACAAACGGCAAAUUUUGCAAGAAAGGACAGGGGAAUUCAACAUAUGAGUAGUAUAGAUAUUACUUUUUUCGCAUUUUUCACUUUUCAUCUGUAGGGGCUAUAUGCAGAGGAAAAUUUGCAUAUUCAGAGCUUACCUUCAUUCGAAGACUCGAUCGAGUGGCUUCUUUUUGGUCCGCCAUUUUGAAGCAGCUAUAGACGCUUCUAUGCGAGCAGCUUAAGAAUACGAUUUCCAAUCCUGAACAUAUAGAAAAAGAAAAAAAAACCUAUUGCAGAAAAACCGGGCAGAAUAUUUCGAAUUUUAUCUUGUAUACAGGAUUAAUGAACAAGUGAAAGGCAUUGCGGUUUUGUUGCUGUAGCGUAAAUUAUGCCUCAGUGUUGUUUCAGUGAAAAACUGAAAAUCGUUUCCAAAAAGGGCAGGAAUAUCCUAUGGGAUUACUCAUAAAUGAUUAGAAUAUGGAACCUUGUCUUUUUUUCCAACUGCUAAUGUGUGUUUUAGCUUUUAGUCGUAUUAAAUUGCGCGUUUAAAACACAGAAAACUUACUUUUCACAGCUGAGCUUGCUUCGCCUUGGUGCCUUCAGUUUGGCCAGGUUCUCACAACUCACGUAUUCACAAAAACUGCAAAAAGAACUAAAAAUGAAAAACUCCGUUAUAGUUUACCAUUUCUUUAUAACUAAAUACUAACACUAAACACACACCUAUACUUAGUAAGUAAUUGAUCCUUUUUCAAGAUUGAUUUCGAAGUUCGCACUGUAGCACUACUUUACGUCUUCGGUCAGUGAAGCCCGAAUGCCCAAGAUCGAAUGCCCCAAGCUCUAACGCAUUCGAUCGGUAAAAGCUUAGUUGCAUGAUACAUUGUUAGUUCUAUUGCGUGAUUGGCCGAAAUUGCCGCCAUAGGGCAUAAUGAAUUUUGAUUGGCCAUUCAAGAUUGCACGUCACUAAUGUUUUUGCUCGCUAUACAGGUGAUCUUGAUACGCGGAAAAAUACUGGCACUAGUUGUCAAAUAGAAAUCCAUUUUAUGAUUAAAACAACUGAAUAUCUCCUGUAAUAUACUUUAUUUCGAUUCCAUAUUUUUGUCAGAGCUAUAGUUCUCAUAACCAAACAUAAUUACAAAAUUUCAACUAGUUUCAUGAAGAAUAAUGAAAGAUAUAAUUGACUGAAUACAUCAAAAUGGUUUUCUAUUCGGACAACCCUUUCUGAGCGCUGAUUGGCUAAAAUACGAACACGAGAUCACAUGGAUUCUAAUUCAGAAAAAUGAAUCUUAAAUCACCCAGAGCCAAUAACAUUUAUUGUCAUUUAGUGUCAUCUACCGUCAUCUACUUGUCAUCUAGUGUUCUCUACCGUAGUGUCAUCUACCGUGAUCUAUAGUGUCAUCUAUCAUCAUCCAGUGUCAUCUACCGUAAUGUCAUCUACCGUAAUGUCAUCUAUAGUGCAGUCUACCGUCAUCUAGUGUGGUGUCUUCUACCGUAGUGUCAUCUAUCGUCAUCUAGUGUCCUCUACCGUAGUCUCAUCUACCGUGAUCUAUAGUGUCAUCUAUCGUAAUCUAGUGUCAUCUACCAUAGUGUCAUCUAUAGUGCAGUCUACCGUCAUCUAGUGUAGUGUCUUCUACCGUAGUGUCAUCUACCGUCAUCUAGCAACUCGCCUGCGUCUAAGUUUGGUGACCUCUGCAGUUAUUAAGUUAGUAAUGUGAUAUUCAAUACUUUGAAGGUCAAUUCAACAAUACACCCUUUCGAUAAUUACGUCAUUUGGCCUGGAAGCCUCGCUCUCAUGAAUCGUCAGCCAAUCGCCUUGCGUCUUUACUAGGGAGUUUAGGAAUGUAAGACGGCGACGUCAGGACGACGCUAAACAAACUGUUUGAAAUAAAUGAUUGUAUCGAAGUCUUGAAUGAUUAUAGUUGGUUAACCAUCGUAUUCGGGUUAAAUUAUAAGUUUCACAAGCAAAUUUGAGGCUCACACACAGCAAAAACUCAUUUUCUUUUAAGAAAAGAAUUCUUAAUUUAAGAAAAUAUUUCUAAAAAUGAGAAUAAGGAAAACGACUCUUAAAUAUGUAUAAUUAUUAAGAUUGUAUGGAAAUCUUGUCUUGUACUUACUUUCGUAUGAAUUUAAAAUAGUUUCGAACUAGUAAAACAGAGCUUUAACCUUAGAGCAAUGUUGAUCAACUCUGCUAGAAAAACUACAGUACCUGUCACGGCUAAUUGAAAUGCUAACGUACCACAGAAGACGUGAAAAUAUGCAUUUUGCCGUUGUCAACAGUACUUGGACGACGUAUAGAAACCCUGCUAUACUUUUAAUUAUUCAUUUCUUUUCUGUUAUAGGGUUAAGGGCAUUGUAUUGAUAGCCGUCGUCCCCAACUAACGAGAGCGAGGCUACCAGGCCGAAAAAGUGUUCGUGACGUGAUUAUCGAAAAGGGUGUAUUCCAAACUUUUAAAAAAACUUCUUAAAUCUCUAUGUCCACAACACUAAUAAAGUUCUGUCUAAUUAACUAACUUACAUAUUAUUUGUAAUAUCAUUAUUCUAAUUUCAUAAUUUUCUAGUGUUUUUUUGUAUAUAUAUAUUCUACAUGUACACUGUAGUUUUAUAAUUGGCAAUAAAACGCGGAUAUGAUUUUGAAAUGCACGAGAAGCGUUCUCAAUACCAUAUCCGCGUUUUGUCCAAAAGUAUACGAGUUUAAAAUUGACUUUCACGCCUAUUAUCUGUCCGACCGCUACUCAUUCGUUUGUCACUCAUCCGUCCAUCCGUACCCGCGUUUUAUCCUAUCAAAACAUUUUGGAUUUAAGCAACGUUUACACGUUGAAGGAAAUUUUCUUUUGAAAUGAAAUUUUAACAAAAUGAAAUGAGCUCAAGGAAACUUGAAGGAAAAACUGAAGAACUGAACACUUACACUGUACUGAAGGGUGAAAUCAUAGUACUUCUACAGACCCUAUUUAUUGACAUACAGUAUCUUAAUUUUUUGGUGCCACAAACGUGAGCAAAUUGUAGGGAAUCCAGCUAAGGGAUGUUCGCCGAUUUUAGAUUCCCUGAAAUGGUCUUUCCUGAGUUCUGGGGAAGAAUUGUUCAUUUUUGCUCAGUCAAGCAAACUCCAUAAGGGGCUGACCAUUUGAAAAGUGAUGAGAGGGGGGGGGGUACAGAAGAAACAAAAAAAUUCGUUCAAACGGAGAAAAAAAAGAAAAAAGUCUUGCAAAGAGCGAGAGCGAAUGAAAACUCCGAAAAAAAAAUUCCAGCACAAGGAGACGGCCGGGAAAAAAUCCGUACUGUACCCCUGUUGGCCCCUAUUUCAAUGCUGUUUUGGAAUUUUUUUUUAUUUUGUGAAAGGAAAUUUGCAUUGAAAUUUUGAAAAAAGGAAAUAGCGCCUGUUUUCCCAAGCUAGGAGGGUCUUUUACCUGCGCUCGGGCUACGGAGCACCGUGCCACAGAUGAUAGAUUAUACAUGAUAAUAUAUGAUAUAUUAUCUAUCAUCUGACCGUGCGGAAGUAAAAGACCCUGCCUUGCGUUUUGCUUGCAAGGUUGCUGUUUUCGCAGGCUACUUGACUUAAAGGAAAAACUGUUUUCUAAAAGUGGAAACACUGCAUUUAAGGUUUCGAAAUUCUUACAGUAAUUCUAUUUGACCAGUGUAGUUGACUGAUGCAAUACUAUAUAUUUUGGAUAUAGACUACUUUUGGAUAUACAUUAUCAAUAUCGAAAUAUCGAAUAGUAUUCAGUGAAAUGAAGCUAAGUCUGCCAAGAUUAUUCAGUGUAUUUUAAACUGGUAAGGAAAUAUCUUUACUGUAUUUAUAUUUUAUAACGUUAUCAUUCUUUAUUUUAUUAUUUUAUUUUCAGGGGGAAAGAAGCAUGAUUUUAAGCCAGUUUUCAACUGAAACGUAGCGUAUUUCUUUGUUUCUUGAGCACUAGUGUGCCUAAUGACUUUGACACAAAAGAAAAUGCUACGGUACGAUACGGUUGAAGCGGAAAACAGGCUUUAGUAUGUCAUACGAAAUUGGCAAGAAAAAUGUUUUGCCGGCGUAGCGGAGUUGGGAAAAAUCGCGAUUGUUGUGAAUCAUGGCCAGUAUCCUACUCUAUCGUUAAAUUGUUUUAGCAUAAAUAUACUCUGGAUACGGUCAUGAGAAGGCAAGCUUUGAUUGAUUUUGGGCUUGCAGGCUGCAGCGGCCACCAGAGGCAGAUCUGGAGUUUAGGCCACUCCAAAUUAGACUUUAGUUUCAUGUCCGGGCCUUAUUUCAAAUUACAUGUGGGUGGGCGGUCCAUUAUCCAUUAUGGUGUCUGAACGAAUCUGACACGACCCAUUAUUCCAUGAAAUAGAUACACAUUUUAAAUAUCC